CGCUGGCGGCAGGCCUAACACAUGCAAGUCGAGCGGAUGAAGGGAGCUUGCUCCUGAAUUCAGCGGCGGACGGGUGAGUAAUGCCUAGGAAUCUGCCUGGUAGUGGGGGACAACGUUUCGAAAGGAACGCUAAUACCGCAUACGUCCUACGGGAGAAAGCAGGGGACCUUCGGGCCUUGCGCUAUCAGAUGAGCCUAGGUCGGAUUAGCUAGUUGGUGAGGUAAUGGCUCACCAAGGCGACGAUCCGUAACUGGUCUGAGAGGAUGAUCAGUCACACUGGAACUGAGACACGGUCCAGACUCCUACGGGAGGCAGCAGUGGGGAAUAUUGGACAAUGGGCGAAAGCCUGAUCCAGCCAUGCCGCGUGUGUGAAGAAGGUCUUCGGAUUGUAAAGCACUUUAAGUUGGGAGGAAGGGUUGUAGAUUAAUACUCUGCAAUUUUGACGUUACCGACAGAAUAAGCACCGGCU
rnacentral:rRNA from 1 species